GCUCACUGCGCUCAUCUCUCUCCCGCCUCUGCGUGCUGCACUUCGGAUCCAAAGAACCCUCAGGAUGGAUGGUGCUAAUAGUAGUGUCUUACAAAGCAUCCAAAGGGACUGAGAAAGUGAUAGAGGUUCAUUCCACGCUUGGGCUUUGGAGCAAGUAGAGGAACCAUCAACCCAUAGGAACUGAGUUUGAUAAAGUAAGCUUGCAGGUGCCUUUGGGUCUCCGUUGCUGAAUCACCAGAAUAUCACAGGGGCACAGUCUGAAAGGUGUGGUCCCAGAUACAUUUUGGAGAUGACUGCUUGCUUGGGAAAUACCAUCAGAAGAUAAGGCCUGGCAGGGUGUUCAAAUCUUCCAAGCUAUCUGGAACAAAAGCAAGACUGAAGCCAUCCUCUGUGCACGUGACCAGAAGCCAUGGGCAUGCUAUGGCGUAAAACAAUUUCUCAAGUUCAAGGGCAGUGAUUUCAAGAUCUAGGUUUGACUCCCAGCACUGCUGUGACAGCUGAGAACCAUCUGUAACUCCAGCUCCAGGAGACUGAGGCCCAGUUCCAGCUAUCUGACCCACAGAGGAGUGCAGAACGCAUUCAGAACCUGGAAGCCGCAUGUGCGGCACUGCCUGUAAACCAUUGACUCCACAUCUGGCUACAUCUUGCUGUAAAGGAAGCCAUACAGCAGUCCUGAUAUCAUGCAGCCAUUUGGCUAGCUAGAACUCAGGCAUUCCGAGACCAGGAAGACAUGGAUGUUGAGGGUCAGACAGCGAUCUUCAUUACAGAAGACACGUGACAGCAUGCAAUCAGCCUUUAUCUGUCCCAUACACAGAUGCUGACAUAUCUGAAUGUUCUGCUCAUAGUAACUGAUGUCCAUAGUAACUAAUAUGAUUCUCAUACUAGCUUUGUGAAGGGAGUGCAGCCAUCUCUGAUUUCAACUGAAAAAGCAAACAAACAAACUAGGUUUUCUGAGAGAUGAUUCUGUUGUUUAUACCGAACGCAUCACCCAGCUCAACAUCUCCUGCUUUAGGAAUCCCUGAAUGGGAGUCUACUGUGCAGGUCUGUGGGAGACGGAUGUAACCUUAUUACUUUGGGUAAUUAUGUUUGCAGGGGUUUUUUAAUUAUUGAUAUUUAUUUGCUAACAUCCUCUUCUGGGAAGGCAUGCCUUUCAAGGCUGUGAGCUUGAAUGAAAAGCCCUUCUGAUUAGACUUGUUGGCUAAAUAUCCCAGAGGAGACCAGAAUUACCAAUGGGAGGUUUCAAAUAGCUUGGCUUUGGGGGUGGCUUUCUGUGCUGCGGAAUUGUGAUGCUUCUCAAAGAUCCCCAUUCUUCCCCGAGGAGGAGCCUUGCUUAACUACUGUAGACGAAAUAGGCCGAAUGGCUUCUCCUCACUAAAACUUUUCCGACAAGAAAUAUAUAAGCAAGAUUGACGUUUCUAGGAACACAUUAUCAUGCCUGCAUGCUCUUGACACUGCUUCUUAUCUCUGUUUCUGUGUCAGGGAUGGAGCACCCCACAGGGGUCAAAUGCUUUGCUGUAAAUUUGUAAAUAGUUUGUGUAACCUGUGGUGUUUACUAUAAUUAUCUUGUCCUGUAAGACUUUUUGCCAAAUAAAACACGAGG
ensembl:lincRNA Gm26791 predicted gene, 26791